AGCCAGCUCUGCUGAGGAGCUAACUGCUCCAGAUGCUGAGACACUGAAAUGAUUGCUAUCUGGAAAGUUUUUUGAGUAAUAAAAUAAAAAAGCAACUCACUACCAGAUGCAUAAAGUAAUGCUUUUACCUGAUCGUCAUUGUGAACUUUCACAAAGAUGGAAGAUGGAAUGUUGGUGGAAACAGAUCAGGGAAGAAGCUGUAGAUUGUAGCCACUGCUUGGUUGGUGAGGCUAAACUGCAGUCUGAAGAUGGCAUUCUUACAAAGGAUCUUACCUUGAGGCUGGGGCGGGUCUGCUGAGCAGAGCAUUUUGCAUUCUCUCAUUGCUUUGGCUAGUAACAUGAUGGCAGUGACUUCAACGUCAGAAUGGGAAUGGGAUCUCCACUGAAAAGCUUUUACCGAGAGAAUUUGGCACAACAGGAGCAGCAGCACAUUAGAUUUUUGGAGACAUCCCGGUCUAUUUCCCCCUCAAAGAAGCCUACACUCUAAAAGAAGACCAAAGGGG